rnacentral:lncRNA from 1 species
CUGGUGCCCGGCUGCGGGCCAGCCUGCCAAGCCGCAAACCCGCCGGCUAGAGCGCUAAAACCGCGCAAGGUGCCCGCUGCCAUCCGCAAGCUGCGCUGUCGUUUGUCGCCUGUGCCACUGGAUGGCAAUGCUGGAUAAAGUAUCGCAGCCCGCAGCGGGGAGAGGAGGAGGAGGAGAAGGAGGAGGAGGAGGAGGAGGACGGCUCGCAGCAGACGGACGGAGCACGGACAGAGCAAGGCAGGAGCGGGCACUGCCGGGCCCGUGGGAAAAGCGUCCCGCAGGGACAUCGCACCCUUGGCUGUAGUUUUCAACCUGAAAGGAGAUGCCCGAACCACGGGGCGUGAUUUCUCAGGAGCCCCGCGCCUGGAGGGCUCGAAUCGCGGAAAACUGAUUUAAGCGUCGGAAGGGGCUGUCGGCAGGAGUGAUUGGAGUCAUGAGUUGGCGCGGCUCGCUAGAAAUUGCCCAAUUUUUAUACUUAAAAACUGUACUUCCACUUUGUAAAAAAAAAUGACUUUGUAAGCACGGCAUGGCUGGGCUCAAUGACUAUUCAGUGAACUCAUUUGAAUGUGCAUAGACAGGGCUUGCUUGAACUGCUGCAUCAAAGAGAAAUGCUGAAAUGAGUCAUUUGUGAAUCACGGCUUAUUUUCUGUUGUUAGCUCCUCUGGAAUCCCAUGGUGAUCAAACAGCCUUUUACAUUGUGUUAAUACAUCGCUACUCCAUGUGUUUAGCAACAGCUCUGUUCCAAUAAAUUGUAGGUAGUCACCCUUUACAAAGAGGAGUUUUUUUUCUGCCGCGCGUAAACUGGCUGGGACAAACUCGGAGAUGAAAACAUCAGCAAAAUUUCGCGCUGUUCCAAACACUGCUGUCCACGCUGCUUCCAUUCCAAUAUCAUACAUGCCUUCUGUCUCCUUGCUUGCAGGGCACAGUCCAGCCAGGAGAGAUUGCCUGCAAGAACUAGCGCUCCCGUCCUCCGAGAGGCUGCAAGCAGAGCAGGAAAACCACUUUCAGGACACAGGAAUGAAAGGGAGGCAGGGAAAAAUCAUCCUCGGCAGCAGUUUAAGACUGAAUCAGUCCAGCAGGUCUGCAAAAAGUUGACAAGAGUCGGAGGAGGAGGGUGUGAAUCCCUUAAGGCUGCUAUUGUCAUUGAACUCUCCAUGGUGUGAAACCACAGCCUGAGGUGCUGAGCUUCUACCAAGAGCAACUGAGGCUGAGGAACCAAUUCCCUUCUGCCAACUCUUUUAUUGGAGUGAGUGGCUGGAGAUGGAAACAUCUUCAACCAGUACAGCAAGCUUCACCACAACC